AGAAAAGAGAUUGUGAAGGGCUCUGUCAAUGUCAGAUUCUGAUACCUUUUUCUGCAAAAAGGCUGAUUUGGUAUAGUUCAGCAGUUGGUUGCAGGUCGCACAAGUUUGUACUUUAAUGGACGGACAGCCCAUUCCUAUAUGAAUCCAAAACCUAGCCGCCAUAGUGGACCAGCUGGGAGCAGUAAUCCUGUUGUUUCCGGCAACGAGUCACUAUCAUUUUGGGCCCAGAAGCCAGCUAAUCUUGAAACGUCUGGGCCCAGACAAGUCUAAGUGAACAAAUCACCUCUGAGAGUCACGGGGCCUUUGGCGGGGUGGUCACCACCAAGAUUAUACAGUCCGGGUGGUGUGAAAGACCAAGAGUUCAACCCUUGUCUCCGACCAAAAUUUGCCACAACAUGUGGUGGUCUUAAAAAAAAAAAAAAUCAUCUCAGAGUGAAAGCCAUUUUCCCUCUCCUUUAAAAAUUUUUACGUUUUCCUUUC